rnacentral:rRNA from 1 species
AUUGAACGCUGGCGGCAGGCCUAACACAUGCAAGUCGAACGAGUGGCGGACGGGUGAGUAAUGUCUGGGAAACUGCCUUAUGGAGGGGGAUAACUACUGGAAACGGUAGCUAAUACCGCAUACCAUCAGAUGUUCCCAGAUGGGAUUAGCUAGUUGGUGGGGUAACGGCUCACCAAGGCGACGAUCCCUAGCUGGUCUGAGAGGAUGACCAGCCAAACUGGAACUGAGACACGGUCCAGACGCCUACGGGAGGCAGCAGUGGGGAAUAUUGCACAAUGGGGGAAAGCCGGAUGCAGCCAUGCCGCGUGUAUGAAGAAGGCCUUCGGGUUGUAAAGUACUUUCAGCGGGGAGGCGUUACCCGCAGAAGAAGCACCGGCUAACUCCGUGCCAGCAGCCGCGGUAAUAC